rnacentral:rRNA from 1 species
GUGCCAGCAGCCGCGGUAAUACGUAGGGGGCAAGCGUUGUCCGGAUUUAUUGGGCGUAAAGAGCGUGUAGGCGGCCAGAUAGGUCGGUUGUGAAAACUGGAGGCUCAACCUCCAGACGUCGACCGAAACCCUCUGGCUAGAGUCCGGAAGAGGAGAGUGGAAUUCCUGGUGUAGCGGUGAAAUGCGCAGAUAUCAGGAGGAACACCCGUGGCGAAAGCGGCUCUCUGGGACGGUACUGACGCUGAGACGCGAAAGCGUGGGGAGCGAACAGGAUUAGAUACCCUCGUAGUCC